ensembl:snRNA U6 U6 spliceosomal RNA
UUGUCAGCCAAGGUAAAUAUCCUAAACAGGAAGGGAAUAGAAAAGAUCAGUAUAGCCCCUGAGCAAGGGUGACACAAACACUCCGAAGAGUUACAUUUCUAG